rnacentral:rRNA from 1 species
ACAUGCAAGUCGAACGGUAACAGGAAGCAGCUUGCUGCUUCGCUGACGAGUGGCGGACGGGUGAGUAAUGUCUGGGAAACUGCCUGAUGGAGGGGGAUAACUACUGGAAACGGUAGCUAAUACCGCAUAACGUCGCAAGACCAAAGAGGGGGACCUUCGGGCCUCUUGCCAUCGGAUGUGCCCAGAUGGGAUUAGCUAGUAGGUGGGGUAACGGCUCACCUAGGCGACGAUCCCUAGCUGGUCUGAGAGGAUGACCAGCCACACUGGAACUGAGACACGGUCCAGACUCCUACGGGAGGCAGCAGUGGGGAAUAUUGCACAAUGGGCGCAAGCCUGAUGCAGCCAUGCCGCGUGUAUGAAGAAGGCCUUCGGGUUGUAAAGUACUUUCAGCGGGGAGGAAGGCGAUAAGGUUAAUAACCUUGUCGAUUGACGUUACCCGCAGAAGAAGCACCGGCUAACUCCGUGCCAGCAGCCGCGGUAAUACGGAGGGUGCAAGCGUUAAUCGGAAUUACUGGGCGUAAAGCGCACGCAGGCGGUCUGUCAAGUCGGAUGUGAAAUCCCCGGGCUCAACCUGGGAACUGCAUUCGAAACUGGCAGGCUAGAGUCUUGUAGAGGGGGGUAGAAUUCCAGGUGUAGCGGUGAAAUGCGUAGAGAUCUGGAGGAAUACCGGUGGCGAAGGCGGCCCCCUGGACAAAGACUGACGCUCAGGUGCGAAAGCGUGGGGAGCAAACAGGAUUAGAUA